UUCAUUCAUUGGUAUGAAAUAGGUAAUUGGACAAGUACUGGUGUAAGACAUUGUGUAGCCUAAAUAAUGAGGACCAGUAGUCCAGAAUGGUUAUCCUUUAUUUAUUUACUCCGACUCCUAUGAUGAACAUGUACGCAAAAAACAAGGGAAACUACGAUUAGAUAGAAACUGAAAUACGUGAAAUUUUUAUGUGACACGAUAAAAGGCGAGGAUAUAUAAGAGCGAGAGAUUGAAUUUGAAUAGGAAAGGCAACCCUGUACGCGUUUCGACCUAACAGUCUUCUUCAGCAGGGUUUUUUAAGGGGGAGGGGGGUGUAGAUAGAGUUUGCAGAGUAGAACUAUAAUGCAGGAGAGUUUAGGAGUACGGAACAUAUGUGAAACCAGAGAAAAACAAAUUACUACGAAGUUAUU